GAAGAAAAGAAGAGAAGGAGAGAGACUUUGAAACGACUUCUGUCUUGAGCAAGCUCGAAGACAACGCUUUUCUUGAAUGAAUUACUACUUAUUGCUGCCAUUGUAUUAUAAAACCUUAGCCUAAAACCAAGCCAAUUUGUUAUCUUCAAAAAAAGGAAACUUAGACACAGAAGAAAAUAUGUAACACUAGUCCACUGAAAUAGGAAUUCCAGACACCCUAAAUUAGGGGUAGGGAGGAAGAAAUUGAUCUAAAGGUAAAAAGGUAAUAAAACUGACAAAGAUUAUUCCUGGCAUAAGAAGAAGAA
rnacentral:lncRNA from 1 species